rnacentral:rRNA from 1 species
GACGAACGCUGGCGGCAUGCCUAAUACAUGCAAGUCGAGCGAACAGAUGAAGUGCUUGCACUUCUGACGUUAGCGGCGAACGGGUGAGUAACACGUAAGGAAUCUACCUAUAAGCGGGGGAUAACAUUCGGAAACGGGUGCUAAUACCGCAUAAUAUCUUCUUCCGCAUGGAAGGAGAUUGAAAGACGGCUCUGCUGUCACUUAUAGAUGACCUUGCGGUGCAUUAGUUAGUUGGUGGGGGAAUGGCCUACCAAGACAAUGAUGCAUAGCCGACCUGAGAGGGUGAUCGGCCACAUUGGGACUGAGACACGGCCCAAACUCCUACGGGAGGCAGCAGUAGGGAAUCUUCCGCAAUGGGCGAAAGCCUGACGGAGCAAUGCCGCGUGAGUGAAGAAGGCCUUCGGGUCGUAAAACUCUGUUAUAAGAGAAGAACAAAUUGUAGAGUAACUGCUACAGUCUUGACGGUAUCUUAUCAGAAAGCCACGGCUAACUACGUGCCAGCCGCCGCGGUAA